rnacentral:rRNA from 1 species
UACGUAGGGUGCAAGCGUUGUCCGGAAUUAUUGGGCGUAAAGGGCUCGUAGGCGGUCUGUUGCGUCAGGAGUGAAAACUCGGGGCUUAACCCCGAGCCUGCUUCUGAUACGGGCAGACUAGAGGUAUGCAGGGGAGAACGGAAUUCCUGGUGUAGCGGUGAAAUGCGCAGAUAUCAGGAGGAACACCGGUGGCGAAGGCGGUUCUCUGGGCAUUACCUGACGCUGAGGAGCGAAAGCAUGGGGAGCGAACAGG